AUGUACUGCUCCUUGCAGUGGCUUUGGAAGGUAUUUUCUCCCCUCGCACCCAUUCGCGGGGCAGGGGAACAGUCUAUUGUUACUCUUAAUACUAAUGCGAAUUACAUUAUCUCUCUAUUCCCAGGUGUCCGGUCCCAGGUGCAGCUGGUGGAGUCCGGAGGGGAUGUGAAAAAGCCCGGAGACUCUCUCCGCCUCUCCUGCAAAGCCUCCGGGUUCACCAUCAGCAGCUACGGGAUGAGCUGGGUCCGGCAGGCUCCCGGGAAGGGGCUGGAGUGGGUUUCAAGCACUUACCGGGAAGUAUGGAACCGCUAUUACUACGCAGACUCAGUGAAAGGCCGAUUCACCAUCUCCAGGGACGAUUCCAACAACCUGGUGCAUUUGGACAUGACCGGCCUGAAGCCCGAGGACACCGCCCGGUAUCACUGUGCGAGAGUGAGCGUGCUGCGGCUGUGCUCACCCUCGCCCGCCCGCAAACAAACAGCUGAUCGACAGCCGGCAGGGGGAAGGCGGGAACGCAGCAAGCUGUGA